rnacentral:rRNA from 1 species
AGAGUUUGAUCCUGGCUCAGAAUCAACGCUGGCGGCGCGCUUAACACAUGCAAGUCGAACGAGAAAGUCCCUUCGGGGGCGAGUAAAGUGGCGGACGGGUGAGUAACACGUGGGUAAUCUGCCCUUGAGUGGGGAAUAACUUUGGGAAACCGAAGCUAAUACCGCAUACGAUCCUUCGGGAUGAAAGCUUUAUGCGCUCAAGGAUGAGCCCGCGGUCGAUUAGCUAGUUGGUGAGGUAAAGGCUCACCAAGGCGACGAUCCAUAGCUGGUCUUAGAGGAUGAUCAGCCACACUGGGACUGAGACACGGCCCAGACUCCUACGGGAGGCAGCAGUGGGGAAUAUUGGACAAUGGGCGAAAGCCUGAUCCAGCA